rnacentral:rRNA from 1 species
AUUGAACGCUGGCGGCAGGCCUAACACAUGCAAGUCGAGCGGAUGAAGGGAGCUUGCUCCUGGAUUCAGCGGCGGACGGGUGAGUAAUGCCUAGGAAUCUGCCUGGUAGUGGGGGAUAACGUCCGGAAACGGGCGCUAAUACCGCAUACGUCCUGAGGGAGAAAGUGGGGGAUCUUCGGACCUCACGCUAUCAGAUGAUCCUAGGUCGGAUUAGCUAGUUGGUGGGGUAAAGGCCUACCAAGGCGACGAUCCGUAACUGGUCUGAGAGGAUGAUCAGUCACACUGGAACUGAGACACGGUCCAGACUCCUAAGGGAGGCAGCAGUGGGGAAUAUUGGACAAUGGGCGAAAGCCUGAUCCAGCCAUGCCGCGUGUGUGAAGAAGGUCUUCGGAUUGUAAAGCACUUUAAGUUGGGAGGAAGGGCAGUAAGUUAAUACCUUGCUGUUUUGACGUUACCAACAGAAUAAGCACCGGCUAACUUCGUG